UCACAUCAUAUUGAAACACCGGUUCCUAUACGAUCACCAAAGUUAAGCAAUGUUAAGCCUGGUCAGUACCUAGAUGGGUAACUACUUGGGAAUACAAGGUG